CACGUAGGAGGCGAGCGUUGUCCGGAAUCAUUGGGCGUAAAGAGCGCGCAGGCGGCUUGGCAAGUCGGGUGUGAAAUCCCGGGGCUCAACCCCGGGACUGCAUUCGAUACUGUCAGGCUAGAGGUAGGUAGGGGAGAUCGGAAUUCCUGGUGUAGUGGUGGAAUGCGUAGAUAUCGGGAGGAACACCAGUGGCGCAGGCGGCGUCCUGGACCGGCACUGACGCUGAGGAGCGAAAGCGUGGGGAGCGAUCCGG
rnacentral:rRNA from 1 species